UUUUUUUUCAUUAGAGUAGGUAGAAAAAAAAAUUGGGCCCCCCAAUAUUGGACAGCCGGCCGCCCCAUGCUCAAUUUUCAACUAUUCUCCCAAACCCAGCUCAAAUAUUCUCCCAAACCCAGCUUUAGUUUUAGGCUUUAUCACCUUAUGUACUUCAAAUAAAACAAGCUGGCCCGCUCAAGUCCAAACACUAAAAGUAAAACUUCACUUUCUCUUCAUCUCAAAAAAUCCAUCCACUGACCCACGAAAUCCCUUUCUUUACUUCUUAUUCUUUUGUUUUGUCUUCUUUGAUACACUUUCAUUUGCACUGGUACCGUUGCCCACCUAUCAGCCCCCAAAACUCCAGCUCUCUGUACUCACAGUCCGAAAAAAAAAAAAAAAAAAUCUUGACCAAUUUUUUCUUUCUUCAUCAGCUUUAGUUUUGGAACUUGGUGACUGAUUUUAGAGAAAUACAUGAUUGAAGGCAUGGGGAGAUUGUUUGUGAUGGGUCUUGAAGGGAAGAUCUAAAGUUGGAGGCAGUCAGGCAGAGGCAAUAGGCAUUGCCACAUGGGUGACCCAUCUUUGCACUUUGUGAAGACAAAGUUUCUAAGGAGGGACAAUCAUGGCACGGGGAUUGAGGUCCCUAUUAAGGUGGAAAAAAGGAUGCAUAUUUAUUACAUUUGGAACAAAGGGUUUGGUAACAGAUUUAAUGUGUUGGGUGACGACAAUCAUGGCACUCCGAAUGGCUUAACGCAAUGACCCAGAAAUCAAGAAGGCAUGUGACACAUACAGUGAUCAUUUUGGACAGUUCAUCAAACUGAUAUUCUAUGGCAUCCAAAAGGCAUCAUGAUUAUGCAUGAACAGCAAAACAGUCUCUUAUUAAUUUGUCGUUGAACUUGGGAUUAUUACUACAAAUUUUCAACUUGAGUCAAAGGGAUGUCCUAAUUAUUGCAUUGGAGAUCUUAAACCGAAAUUUCAAAUUGUAUUUAGGAGCAGUAC